UGCACGGUAGCGCAGUUGGUAGCACUGUUGCCUUGCAGCAAGAAUUUCCUGGGUUUGACUCCCGGCCGGGGGUCUUUCUGCAU